UACGUAGGGGGCUAGCGUUGUCCGGAAUCAUUGGGCGUAAAGCGCGUGUAGGCGGUUCGGUAAGUCUGCUGUGAAAGUCCAGGGCUCAACCCUGGAAUGCCGGUGGAUACUGUCGGACUAGAGUGCGGAAGAGGCGAGUGGAAUUCCUGGUGUCGCGGUGAAAUGCGCAGAUAUCAGGAGGAACACCAGCGGCGAAGGCGGCGCUCUGGGCCGAUACUGACGCUGAGGAGCGAAAGCGUGGGGAGCGAACAGG
rnacentral:rRNA from 1 species